AUACUUACCUGGCAGGGGAGAUACCAUGAUCAGGAAGGUGGUUUUCCCAGGGCGAGGCUUAUCCAUUGCACUCCGGAUGUGCUGACCCCUGCGAUUUCCCCAAAUGUGGGAAACUCGACUGCAUAAUUUGUGGUAGUGGGGGACUGCGUUCGCGCUUUCCCCCG
ensembl:snRNA U1 U1 spliceosomal RNA